AAAAAGGUCGGGUCCAACCUCAUUGGACAGGAAUAAGCAAGCGGAUGGUUCAUUGCGAUCAGAGCCAAUGCAUAUUGACUUUGCUUUGCAGUACCUCACUUGACUCCCUGCGAUUUGGCAGCAUCAAUAACAAACCGCCCGAGUAAUUUUUAAUAUAGGAGGUGUUCUAACGGCCUGUAUUGUAUCUGC
rnacentral:snRNA from 23 species